rnacentral:lncRNA from 1 species
UGAGCUCCAACAUAAAUAAAUGCUAUUUGAUCUCUAGACGGAGACCCCACUCGAACCUUGUAGCCUUCCUACCUUCAUCCAACUAUGUCUUGGGGGAAUAUCAGCCCAACUCUAGAAACUUGCGAGCAUAUUCUAACACAAUCAUGUUCCCCUGGACCAACUGUACAAACUCCAUUUCCUUCAGAUGUCAGAGAUGCUCUAGAAGGUAUUUUGUACAAAAAAACGCUAGGAACUUCCCAAGUAACUGGAACAGGUAUGGUGGUCUGUUUAAAU